GAAAUGCGAUAAGUAAUGUGAAUUGCAGAAUUCAGUGAAUCAUCGAAUCUUUGAACGCACAUUGCGCCCGUUAGCAUUCUAGCGGGCAUGCCUGUCCGAGCGUCAUUUCAACCCUCAGGGCCCCCCGUUCCGGCGGGCGGACCUGGCGUUGGGGAUCGGCCCGCCCCGUGCGGCGCCGUCCCCCAAAUACAGUGGCGGUCCCGCCGCAGCCUCCCCUGCGUAGUAGUUUACAACCUCGCAUCGGAGCGCGGCGCGGCCACGCCGUAAAACCCCCGACUUUCUGAACGUUGACCUCGGAUCAGGUAUGAAUACCCGCUGAACUUAAGC
rnacentral:misc_RNA from 1 species